UCUUAAGAAAAAAGGUUCUUCAAAGGUUCUGAAACGAUGGUAAAGGUUCUAUAUAGAACCAUAGCUUACUGAAGAACCAUUUUUUGCUGAAAUGGUUCUUUGUCUUGGCAAAAGGGUUCUUUAUUUCCCUCCUUUUUUGAUUUUAAAUUUAGUCAGUUAUUUUCAAGCUGCCUCUUGAUUAUUUUCACCUGUAAAAGCCCUGAAUCAUCAGUCCUGCUGAACCGCCAGCAGAUUAACAUCACAAGCAGGUAAGAGAGUAAAAUAAUCAUCAUUUACUGUUAAAAACAUUUUGAAAAUUGAAGUUUUGUGUGUUCUUAUUGUAAUUUAUUUAUUUUAUAACAGGUAAACGUUAUACUGUAAGCUUCAUUCACUUUAAAGCAGAGUUUUUGUAUGUGAGGUAAUCUUACUGGGAAUGAAGGCAGUGCGUAUGACCACUUGAUAUAGACACAUUCUAUUUUUAAAGGUCAACAUACUGUAAGCUUCAUUCCCUUUAAAGCAGAGUUUUCAUAUGCGAGGUAAUCUUGCUUAUGCUGGGAGUGAAGGCAGUGCGUAUGACCGCUUGAUAUGAAAGACACAUCCUGUUUUUAAAGGUGGAUCAUGAGUGAAGCUCUGGAGGUCUGCCAUUGGCUUGAUAACAGUGGUUUAUGUGAAUUGAGUGAAUUCAAUUUAUAAAUAAAUCUUUCACCAAGCAUUCACCUAUUUACUGACAAAACAGAUCCAAAUCUUGUUCAGCCUGAUGCUCAACCUUGUAUGAUGAUGACAACAGCCAGGUGAUGGAGAUCUGUGUUAAUCACACCCUGCGUCUCAAGAUCAACAUGACAAUAGCAGACCAUUUCUUAUCUUACUCUUAUCUGACUAAAUGUUCAGCAUCAUUGCAACAAAACAAAGAACAUUGGAUGGAGUAUUGGAUGAUCCCGUAAAGAAAAUAAUAUGGACUUUUUUGGUGAGAUUCUACAAAGAUUGACACAAUCCUAUUGACUUUUAUUUUUACAGUUAAUAAUGCAUUAUAAACAUCCCAUUCAUUUGUAUUCUAUGUCAUCGAUCUGUUUGUGCUAAAGUGUUUACAUCUGAAUGUAAUGUCAAUAAUAUGUUAAUAUUCAGGAUUUAUUAUCAUUUGCAUGUUUUGAUGUUAUGAUUUUAUUGAUUUCAUGUAAUUGUUGUCUAUUUAAAAUGAUUUUAAUUGCCAAAUUUUAUUGUUAAUUUAUUUAAUAUUGAAGCUGUUAUUUAACAUCCAUAUCUUAUUUGAGUAGUGAUUUGUUAUAUUUGCAUAAUAAUUAAUAUAUUUAUUCUGAUUGUGAUUUUAAUGCACAUAUUUAUUAUUGUAUGACACCUCAUGUAAUGAAAAAGUGAAAAUAAAAGUAUGUUCUGAUGUCUUGCAAUUCUGUUUUUAAACUUUUAAACCUUAUAAAGUGCUAUAAAUAAGAAAAAACAAAUAAAAAAAUAAUCCUCCUGACUGCUGAUAAAUGAAAGGGUUCUUUAUAGCACCACUGAGGUUCUAUUUAGCACUUUUUCAAGGCAAGGUUCUAUAUAGAACCAUCUAAAAAAGGGUUCUAUAUAGUACCAGAAAGGGUGCUGCUAUUGUUACAAGCUGAAGAACCCUUAUUUGGUACUAUAUAGAACCAUUUUUCUUAAG